AUUAACKCGAARCACSUUMCCAAGGCKUGACAUACACCGGACGCAUCCAGAGAUGGGUGUUCCUUCGGGCUGGUGUACAGGUGGUGCAUGGUUGUCGUCAGCUCGUGUCGUGAGAUGUUGGGUUAAGUCCCGCAACGAGCGCAACCCUCGUUCCAUGUUGCCAGCAACRCUUCGGUGGUUGGGGACUCAUGGGAGACUGCCGGGGUCAACUCGGAGGAAGGUGGGGAUGACGUCAAAUCAUCAUGCCCCUUAUSUCUUGGGCUUCACSCAUGCUACAAUGGCCGGUACAAAGGGCUGSGAAACCGCGAGGUGGAG
rnacentral:rRNA from 1 species